CUCACAUAUGUUUCUUUCCCUUUCCCAACAUUCGUCUUCUU
rnacentral:sRNA from 1 species